rnacentral:rRNA from 1 species
GACGAGCCACACAAACGUUAUUCGGAGUUACUGGGCUUAAAGGGUGCGUAGGCGGCGCGGAAAGUUGGGUGUGAAAGCCCUCGGCUCAACCGAGGAAUUGCGCCCAAAACUACCGUGCUUGAGGAAGAUAGAGGUGAGCGGAACUCAGGGUGGAGCGGUGAAAUGCGUUGAUAUCCUGAGGAACACCGGUGGCGAAAGCGGCUCACUGGAUCUUUUCUGACGCUGAGGCACGAAAGCUAGGGUAGCGAACGGG